GUCGACAUUUUAAUUUAAUAAGAAGAUUGUCAAUGUCUGGCUGUUUCAACUCAAUUACCGAUGGGAACCAAGUAUCUACCAUGUUGGCAAAAGAAACUCCAAACAUAAAAAUCCUCUAUUUUACCGCACCUUGGUGUGGUCCCUGCAGGCAGUUUAGUCCUGUCUUUGAGGAGUAUCAUCGGAAUAAUUCAUUUUUUGACGUGGCCAAGAUUGACAUUGAUAAUUUUUCUGCUUUGGCAGAAACAUAUGAGAUAACAAGCAUUCCGACGGUCAUUAUCUUUAAGGGUAAAGACAAGGAGAAAACCAUUAUUGGUGCUACUGUCGACAAAGUCAAAAAGGCGUUAGAAAACUACUCUUAAAUUAAUUUUUAAGUUUUUGAUCACUUGGUUUCAUA
rnacentral:lncRNA from 1 species